UGGGGAAUAUUGCACAAUGGGCGCAAGCCUAAUGCAGCCAUGCCGCGUGUAUGAAGAAGGCCUUCGGGUUGUAAAGUACUUUCAGCGGGGAGGAAGGGAGUAAAGUUAAUACCUUUGCUCAUUGACGUUACCCGCAGAAGAAGCACCGGCUAACUCCGUGCCAGCAGCCGCGGUAAUACGGAGGGUGCAAGCGUUAAUCGGAAUUACUGGGCGUAAAGCGCACGCAGGCGGUUUGUUAAGUCAGAUGUGAAAUCCCCGGGCUCAACCUGGGAACUGCAUCUGAUACUGGCAAGCUUGAGUCUCGUAGAGGGGGGUAGAAUUCCAGGUGUAGCGGUGAAAUGCGUAGAGAUCUGGAGGAAUACCGGUGGCGAAGGCGGCCCCCUGGACGAAGACUGACGCUCAGGUGCGAAAGCGUGGGGAGCAAACAGG
rnacentral:rRNA from 2 species